UUGUUGGUAAGGUAAAAGCUUACCAAGGCUUCGAUCAGUAGCUGGUCUGAGAGGACGACCAGCCACACUGGGACUGAGACACGGCCCAGACUCCUACGGGAGGCAGCAGUGGGGAAUUUUGGACAAUGGGGGCAACCCUGAUCCAGCCAUGCCGCGUGAGUGAAGAAGGCCUUCGGGUUGUAAAGCUCUUUCAGCCGGAACGAAACGGUUACGGAUAACACCCGUGACUACUGACGGUACCGGAAGAAGAAGCACCGGCUAACUACGUGCCAGCAGCCGCGGUAAUACGUAGGGUGCGAGCGUUAAUCGGAAUUACUGGGCGUAAAGCGUGCGCAGGUGGUUUUGUAAGUCAGAUGUGAAAGCCCCGGGCUCAACCUGGGAACUGCGUUUGAAACUACAAGACUAGAGUGUGGCAGAGGGGGGUGGAAUUCCGCGUGUAGCAGUGAAAUGCGUAGAGAUGUGGAGGAACACUGAUGGCGAAGGCAGCCCCCUGGGUCAACACUGACGCUCAGGCACGAAAGCAUGGGGAGCAAACAGGAUUAGAUACCCUGGUAGUCCAUGCCCUAAACGAUGUCAACUAGUUGUCGGGCCUUUACGGGCUUGGUAACGUAGCUAACGCGUGAAGUUGACCGCCUGGGGAGUACGAUCGCAAGAUUAAAACUCAAAUGAAUUGACGGGGACCCGCACAAGCGGUGGAUUAUGUGGAUUAAUUCGAUGCAACGCGAAAAACCUUACCUACCCUUGACAUGUAUCGAAGCCCGCAGAAAAGCGGGGGUGCCCGAAAGGGAACGAUAACACAGGUGCUGCAUGGCUGUCGUCAGCUCGUGUCGUGAGAUGUUGGGUUAAGUCCCGCAACGAGCGCAACCCUUGUCAUUAAUUGCCAUCAUUUAGUUGGGCACUUUAAUGAGACUGCCGG
rnacentral:rRNA from 1 species